UGAGGUAUUGGGGGUUAGGAAAACAUAUGAAUUUUUGGGGAGAAACAGUUUAGCCCAUAACACUAUGCCUCAGAGUCCUGACCUCUAACCUGGAGGUUACAAUGAUACACCUCUGAAAGGAUAUUAUGUGUAGACUGCAAAGUGCUGUGCAAAUACAGCAUUGUUACUUCCUUCGUCCUAAUGACUUGCGCCUGGAUCCCUGACGUGACUGUUUAGAUCUGGCAGAAAUACAGGUGGAGUCAGUCCCCUAAGAGGCAGGAAGAGCCAGUAAGAGGUGAUGGGGUCGGGGCACGAGAUGGUGGUGCGCUCUCCCUGCAUUAAGGCCCUCUCUUUUGUGCUACCCCCGCUGUGGGUGCUGAUGCUUACUCAGUGGAUAUUUAGCGGCACCUGCUCUGUGCCAUGCCUCCGGGGGGUGGGGUGUGGAGUAGGAGGGAAGGGGAGGCAUGGCCCACACCAUGGUGUAAAAGGCCCCGAGAGUCCAUGGAGCUGGAAGUGAUGGCAUCUUUACUGGGGGAACAACAAGGUUACUGGCUAUAGGGACAGGGCAACUUGCUCUCCCUUUGCAGAGUCACAUGAGGUUGACUCUGAUGAGAUAUCUAAGCAGUGCUACUCCCAGAACAAGCGUUUGCUGCUGGUGGUGAGGGCGCUGAACGUGGAUUUAAUUUCCCUUGGAUCAUAUGCUUCAUCCUGACGAUAUUUCUGGAAGUUUAUGGAGGUGCUCUGGCUUUCUGAAUCUACCCUUUAUUUCCAGAAGGGUGAGGAUGGAAGGUCAAAUCUCUUCCUCAGAAGAUAAAUGACCAGCGCCCCUUUUGCAGCCUCCACACUCCCAAUCUGGGGCUUUUAUCUGAAAUCAGUGGGAGCCUGAGCCGAUGAAGAGAUAUGAGUCAAGAGCAUGUCCAAACAGAGUAAGUUUUCCCAUAUAAAUAACAAGGUUUAACGCUCAUGUCACCUCGGGGUUCUUUGUCUCUUCUUUAGAGCCAUACAAAGCUGAUUUAUUGACUUGUUUUCCUUUUUCCUUUGACUUAAUGACUCUUUCUCAUUAUUUUCUGAAUAUGGCUUUGCUUUGUUUCCUAGAAUGGGAGAGAGAAAUGGUUCUGGUGAAUCCUGGGAGAGGCCUGGUUUUGGAAUCUUUCUCUCUGCCGACAUGGCUGCUCAGCGGGAAGUUUGGCCAGUAGAGUGUUGGGACUCCUGUUCAUAUCCCCAGAAUGUGGCCACAUGUGGCUGUGAACAUUGGGUAGGUUCAUGUGGUCUCAGAACCCCACCAAGGGCAGGAGAGACCCUUCUGAGGCUCAGGGAGUAGUUACGGAGUUGGACAAAGCAGCUCUUCUAACUUCCUGAGUAAUCUGCAGCCAUUGGACAGAUCCGUCUUAGAUUCUCUCGAGCCUCUCCUGGGAGGGAAGCCCUCUCCCCUUGAUUGUGUCCCCUCUUCCCUCUUCCUGGGGACCCAUGCUUUAAUUGACCCCCUCUCCUAUCAGAAAUGCAGGGGUUUAGCACCUUUCAUCUAUUUUAAUGAUCCCAGAGAGUUUGAUUCUUAACCUCAGAGAAUGGUUACUGGGGGAAUUUCAGGCAUUUCCACGGAGUGUUUUAAAUGGUAGGGGGGCCUCUGACUCGCCUGUGCAUGGCUGAAUACAUUGGUUUGGCUCUACCAACGUAUCAUUUUGGGCGUGAGACAAAUGCUCAUUUGAUAUGAAUGAAGAUAAGCUGGGGCGAUUUUAAUAGUCCCUCAGGAAUUCCCUCACAGAAGUGUAUCUGAGGGGGCCCAGUUUUCACUCUCCGCCGGCUCUGUGGUUAAGAAGUGGUCCCUCCAUAGUGAGAGCAUCCUUAUUAGACCUGGAGUCCACGGCCGGCCUCCUCCUUCCUCCAGGCCCAGCGCGAGCAAGGCGCAGGGAUGAAGGCCGGGUCCAGGGGCAGCACCAAGGCCAGAGGCAUGCAGGGGGCUCCGGUGGGUACUGGUGAGCCGCUGUCUUCCCCUGGAGACCCGAGCUCGGCAGCUGGCCCCUCCGGGACAAGGGAUGGAGUGCGCAGCCCAUCACCAAGUGCACAGGGGUCUUCGCCGAGCCUUUCCCGAGACCUCAGGGUCCAAGCGCGGGCCUGCGGCUGGUCACUCAGCAGCACCGCCUGGGGCUCCCGGUUGGAGACGCCACCCGGCCGAGAGGCAGAGCCUGGCUCUGUGCAGCCUUGGGCGCGGUCCUCUAACCCGUCUGAGCCUCCGUUUCCUCCUCGCUACAACGGGGACGCCGCGGCCGCCCUGCAGGGGAGUUACGGGAUGGGUGAGGCCGCCUGGGGCGCAGCUGGCGCCUCCGUGGGACGCGAGAACACGCGCUGUCAUCACAUCUCAGAUGAGGUCGUCCCCGGGUUUCCUGCUGGGACGUCCGCUCGUGCCUCCAGGUUUUCAGCGGCUGGAGUGGUGAGCAGUGACGAAGAUGCUGAAAAGCCGGACGAUCACGGGCUCCGAAGCCCCCUGCCGCCCCUGGUUAAACCCAGUCACCGCUUCCGGCCCGGGAGGUGCUCGUCCAGGGCCCGGCUGGAUGCGACUAGAUGGAGCCGGGUCGGCGUGCGCCCCCGGAGCCCGGCGGUCCUGGUUUGGGGGCCGAGCCUGCGGCAGCCCCCUCCGAUGCCCUGGCCCUCGUUCUGGCGGCCGCCCUCUGCCCUCUCUUAUUUCGGGGCACGGCUCCAGGCGGUGGCGGACCGAGCAGAUGACAGGCUGUCUGGGUUGCUCUCGCGAGAGGACCCUCGCGGGGGCGGCGCCAGCGGCUUCUGGCCACGUUGGGCGGAGCUGUGAGGCGGAAGGCGGAAGAGCCUGUGCUCGGGCGAUGGCCACGUGAUCGCGCGCCCGCAGCGCUGAUUGGCCGGACGCUCCCGGGCCACGCCCCAGGGGCGGAGCCGUCGCUGUCCGGCGCCGGCGCUGUUGCGGGGAAAGAAGCGUCCUCGGGCGCCCUUGGGAGCGGCCCCAGUGGGUGUCUUGUUGUCCAGGUCACGGGUGGAUCUGGGCUUCUGGGUCUUGGGUGGCGGGACACCUUAGCUGUGCUGAGCUUCGCGUCCUGCAGGAUUCUGUCCCUUGGUCCCCAGCAACGUGCAGGGCGGCUCUCUAGGAAAGCAGGGCAGCCACGCGGCUCACAUCCUGGUUGUCCCCUCUGUCGUGGUGCCUGAGGCAGGCUCUCGCCGCCCUGAGGGCGCCCUCCCAGGAAAAUCCUUGCAGAGGCCAUCUUCCCCUCCCCGCAGUGUCCGAGCCGAGUCCCAGCCAGCUUUUCACUCUGCUCCCCUGGGGAACAGGGAUCGGACCUCAGGACAACGCCUCCCCGCCCCGGCUUCCCCAAGAGUUUCACUCCCAAGGCUUUCUGGAGAGGGAGCAUGGUAGAAAGGAAGGAAGCUUUGUUGUCACAGAGAGAAGCAGAACUGCUGGAUCGAAGAGCAAGUAUUUUCUUUCCAGUGGUUGUACCAAAUUUCCCUUCAAAUGCUCGUGUACACCAAGGACCCAGGCAAAUCCCCACAUCUCCAGGAUUCCACAGGGCAAUGCUUGAUACAGCCGGGAUCUACGAUUUAGAGUGUACGAGAGCAAUUUGGGAGGAAGAGCCCACUGCAGGUAACAGAGGACUCUCUCCUUGCACCUCAUCCCUGUCAGUCUUCUCCAUCUGCUCAAGUACCAGCUUCUGAUUGAUUGGCGGUGGGCGCGGUGCAGUGUAGGGAAAGGAUCAGACCUCGCUUUGGGUCCCGACCUGACCGUGUGCUGAGAUGUGCCGUGGAGCAUCUCGGAGCCUCCCACAAAGGGUGAUCGUGCCUGGCCUUUGGGGUUGGGGUAAGGAUUUGUGGCAUAACAGGAAAGGUAUUUGGUCUUUGUCCCCAGUUUCUGGCACAGGGCUCCUUGGAACCCUUAGAAUCUCCCGAGUGAUAGGACCAUCUUCUGUUCUAAAGAGGUGACUCUUGGGGGGUCCUUCCCUAGAAAGCUUCAGGAUGGAGGCUGGUCGCCAGAAAGACCACACCUUGAUUAGAAGAUCAAUCUUCCAGAAGUUUCUGUCCCACUCCCCGACCUCUGGCAUGGGAAAAGGGGCUGGAGGUCAAAGUCAUCACCAAUAGCCAGUGAUUUAAUCACUCAUGCCUACGAAAUAGAACUGUCAUGAAAACUCCUAAGCAAUGGGAUUCAGGGAGCUUCCACGUUGCUGAACACAUCGAGGUGCUGGAGGACACACCCAGAGAGGGCGUCGAAGCUCCAUGUCCUUCCCCCGCAAACGUCUCUUCCAUUUGGUUGUUUCUGAGUUGCACCCUCUGUAAUAAAUAGUCAGUAAAGUGCCUUCCUGGGUUCUGUGAGUCCUUCUAGAGGAUUCUCAAACCUGAGGCGGGGGUCUUGGGAGCCUCUGAUUUACAGCUUGGUCAGAAGAUUGGGUGGUCCUGGACUUGUGACUAAUGUCUGAAGCGGGGGCAGUCUCGAGGGACCAAGCCCUUUAACCUUUUCGGAUCUGACGCUAACUCCAGGUAGAUGGCGUCAGAAGUGAAUUGGGCUGUUGGAUUCCCAGUUGGUGUUGGAGAGUUGGAGAAGCAGUGUUGAAAGAGACACCGUGUAUUUGGUGUCAGGAGGAAAAGACCCCUCAUCCUUGUACAUAGUGCAUGUGUGCUGCCGAUCACGGAGUGAGCAAUUAACAAAUUCAUUCAUUUAUUCCACAAAUAUUGACUGAGCAAACUGCUUCGUCCCAGACACUGUUCCAGGCUCAUGAGUGGUGAAUAAAAUAUAAAAUGUCCCUGCCCACUUGGGGCUUAGAUUCUAGUAGGGGGCACAGGAAAAAUUAAUAAGCACGUACGAAGUCAGAUAGUGUGUUAGUUUGCUAGGCCCGCCUUAACCAAAUACCGCAGACCUAGGGAUUCCACAACGGAAACCGAUUGUCUCAUGGUUCUGGGGGCAGAAGUCUGAGAUCCAGGUGUCGGCAGGGUUGGUUCCUUCUGAGGCUGUGAGGCAGUGUCUGUUCCGGGCCUCGCUCCUUGGCUUGUAGAUGGCUGUCUUGUCCCAGUGUCCUCACAUCAUCUUCCCUCUUUCAGAGUCUCUGUGUCCAAAUUUCCCUUUUUUUAAGGACACCUGUCAUGCUGGAUCAGAGCUCACCCUAAAGACCUCAUUUUAACUCGAUUUCCUCUGUACAGACCCUACCUCCAGAUAAGGUCUCAUUCUGAGGUAAAUGGGGUUAAGACUCCAGCGUCUCUUUCUGUGGGGAGACACAGUUCAGCCCAUUGCGGGUAGGUAUUGGAGAAUACUGAGGACCAGGGGUGGGUAGGUUUUUGUAUAUAGAGAGGGUGGUCAGGGAGGGCUUCCCGUAUGAGGUGACAUCUGAGCAGAGACCUGAAAGAUAAGGAGCAGACCCGGCAGACGCGGGGAGGCCGAGCUGCCAAGGCAGCUGGGAGGCCCCAAGACCCUUGCUGGGGUGUGAAGAGCAGCGAGCAGGCCAGUGAGGUCACGGAGGUGUCCGCUCGGGUAUAAAGGAGCAUGUCAGUGUCCUGGGGCUGCUGUAACAAAGGACCACAAACUGGGCAGAUUAAAACAACAGAAAUUUAUUCUCUUACAGUUUUGGAGACAAGAGGCCCCAAAUCAAGGCCUCAGCAGCUCCGCACUGUCUCCAGCUCCUCGUGGCAGCUGGCACUCCUGGGGGUUCCUUGGCUACAGCUGCAUUGCUCUGAUCUCUGCGUCGUCAUCUCAGGGCCGUCUUCCCUCUGUGGUCUGCGUUGUCACUCAGCAUUCUCCUCCGUUUGCGUGUCCGUCUCUGCAUCUCUUCUCCUCUUCUUAUAAGGACACUAGUCACAUUGGAUCAAGAGCCCACCCUCCUCAGGUGUGACUUCAUCCUCAUGGACAUCUUAGUUCCAUCUUCAAAGACCCUAUUUCCACAGCAGGUCAUGUUCACAGUAGCAGGGGUUAGGAGCUCCACACGCCUUUUUGAGGGGCACGCUGUAACCCCGACAAGGACCGUGCCCUCGCUCUGUGUGCAGUGGGGCCAGUAGGCAGUGGGCAUUCCUGUGAGUCUGGUACUCUGCUCAGUGCUCUUGAUGCCCAGACGCAGCUGCACAAGAUAGAGCAUUUAAUCUUUUUAGUGACGCGCCCUUUGCCUGCUUUCAGAGAAGCUUGGAGGCAACUGACAAAGGUAGUUGCAUAGGCAACAGGACAGUUAACAGAAAGGGAAGAUGUCUAACGAAAGGGCUAGAGAAUUAACUAUUUCCUGGCCCUGGGAAGGCAUUGAAGACUGAAGUCACAGUUUCCUUAACUCUGAACUUCCUGGCAGUGAAGGCAAGAGGGAAAUAUGUUUGGAGCCCUAAAUUAAUUAUUUUUUUAAAUAAAACAUAAGAGCCAUAGGUUAGUAUGAUGACCAAGGUCUUCAGCUGCAGUUUGGCAAAGUUGUGGGGACCUCCCCAGCCCCUGUUUCCUGUAUUGACCCUUCCUUGUACCUGCAGGGAAGUCAGCCCCCUGGGGACCCGCUGAGGGUGCAGCGUCGGUUCUCUUGAAAGUUAGAAGCAUCCCGUCAUAUCUUAAUCCAAGGAGGUCUUCCCUGGUGGAGAGCUGAAGCCACACGCUUCCUAAUGAUUGACGUGAACACAGGUUUGCAUUUAGACGUCCGGGAGGAAGGGGUUGCUAAUGGAAUCAGUAGACUGAGUCUCAAAUGUCAGAUGCUCAGCCUGCACUGAAUUGACCUCAAAUCACUGUUAGGCUGACCACAGCUGUCACAUUAUUCCCCCAUUUUCCCAUUCUGUGUCACCCCGACUCCUGCCUCUUCAUCCCUCCCUCGUCCCGGCAGAGCCACAUGCUGGCGAGUCUACCUUCAGCGCCUCCAUGUACAUCGCUCCUUAUCCUCCCCCCAGCCACGACCACAAAGGACCCUCUGUACCCAUUUCUGGAUGGUGGCACCAGCCUUUAUUGGCCUCCCAGCCUCCUCUGCUCUCAGAGGAAUCUUCUUAAAACGCAGCAUGAGCAUGUCAGCCCUUCUGUAAAGAUUGUCGAUGGCCUCAACCCUUUGCCUGGUCUCAAUGGGCAAGUGGAGUUUGGAGUCAGACAGCCCUGCAUCCUAAUCCUCCCACAUAUUUGUCCUCUCUGAGCCUCAGCAUCCUCAAGCAUAAAUGAGCCAAGUUGGCUAAAGACGUCACCAAGAUGGGAUCCAGCAGACCGGCUCAACCCUACAACAGUGGGUAAGGAAGCCAGGGUGGCUUUGCUCUGCUCCCCCCUUGGGCUGACACUGCAGUUCAACGCUCAGGGGUCAAUUUUAGGUUCUUCUUUCAAUUUUAGGUUCUGAGGGGGUGUACCAUUGUGUCACGUUGCCAGGAUUUGGGGGGGUUCGGGGCAAUCUGGAUUGAACACAGUGAUGAAAUUGUGAGCCCUCUGGUUUCUCAGCUGCAUGCCAUCUCAUGCUCCAUCCACGCAUAGAUGCAGCGUCCAUCUCUGUGAAGAAAACUCUUUUAGAAAGCAAAGGGUUACUUCUUAUUUCCAUAAGGUUCUUAGCCGUUUUUAAUGUAAUAUACAUAAUCUUAUUUUACGGGCUGAAUUAGCUAACACGAGAGCAACUUUUCGGAAGAAAUGAUACCUUUCAAUCAUGCCCCAAAUAUUCAUCUCAGGGUGGUGAUGAGCAGCAAAGGAUUGCUAAUGAGAUCAUUGGAAGUGGCUGCUCGAAGUUUCCUCCGUCUAAUGAUGCUGACACUCUUGAUUUGGUGUGACAGGUUAGACUGACAGGCAUUUUGGCAGCCAGACGCACCAGAAACAAUUAUUUUACAGAUAAAUUAUUGCCAUUCAGGCAUUCAAAGCUUCCAGAGAUUUCUGUUAGCUCAUGGACGCUGGGUGCAUGGAAAUCUUAGUUUCACACGUCAGUGGGGUCUGAACAUACACGGGGGGACACCCAGGUUGCUCUGCGUGGAGCUAGAUCAGAAUGUAGACUCGAGUCUUGGCUCCCCGCCCUGCUAGCAGUGAGGCCUGGGGCAGGUUACUGAAACUGUCUGAGCCUGAUCUCUAGAGGGGGAUAAUUAAACCUAGCUCAUCAGGGUGUUGUGGGGACCCUCAUGAAUUAAUGUCCAUGACGCACUUACUGUCCUGCAUUUGGAGACGCAGUAGCUGCUGUUUUCACUCCCUGCACCAGGUGCACUGUGGGACUUUCUAGGUUCACCACGGUCACGUGCCCACUUUGCUUCAUCCAAGUUACUCUCUUUGAAGGAUGGAUGAGAAAAGGGCUUAAGACUCCAGACUUAGAGCAAGUUGCUUGCUCCAAGCAGGGUCUCCAGGAGACCCAUGAUGUUAAAGUCUGGAAAGGCUGGAAGGUCAGGGGGUGAGACCGGCUUUCUCCUUUUGCAUGUUCUGGGCAAGUAUUUACUCACUAGGAUGCAUUCCCAAACUUUUCAGGGUCAGAAAAAAAAUGGAGCUGCCUUUGAUUUUGCGUUUGGGCAGCCUUCUUCCUCUGGGCCGUGCAGUGGCCGGCCCCUCGUGCUGGGGUGGAGCCCAGGAUGACACCAAGCAUGGUUUGACUUGGUCUCAACUGGGUCAUGAGAGUGGAAGGAUGGGUGUGGAAGGUGGGACCUGGGAUGAGUCAGUAGCCCUGGGUCCCUGUCCUGUCCCUUCUCUGGGGUUCUCUGCUUACCUUCUCUGGUGGAAAUUCCAGACGGCAACUUGGAUUUUUCCAGUGCAGUAACUUGAAAGGUAAUUGAUGAUAUUUCUUGGCUGUGAUUGUUGAACACCAGUACAGUCCAGGCCUUUAGCGAAGCUUUUGCCCACAGUAUCUCAUCCAUCCUGGCAACACCAGCCCAGAUAGGUCCUGCUGAGGGAGCUGAGGCUCAGGGAGGUUGAGUGACUUGACCAGAGGUGCACAGAGCCUGGCAGAUGCAAACCUAUCUCCUCCCUGAGCCCAGGGCAGGUGUGUGUAGCCACUGUGCACUGUGCUGUGUGUCCUCCAGGGCGUUCUCCUCGGUCAGCUCCCCCCGGCAACCUCUGUAAACUCAGAACAGACAUGAACAGCUGGGCCUCCUUCCUGGGCCAUGAGCCACCUGGACCUUGUGUUUAAGGAGCUGACAGGGUUGAUGCGCACGGGUCCCGUAGAACACCUCAUCCUGUGUGUGAGUGUGAGCUGCACGUAGGCAUGGUUGGCGGACCAAUGGCAGGAGGUCUGCCUUGCUUCUGACUGUCACUGCUGGAAAGGUGACAUUCAGCCACCUGCGUCUCCUUCUGGCCUUCAGCUGUGAAAUGAGGGAUGGGACUGUGUCCUUCUGGGAUAAAUCCUUAGAAUUCUAGAUCUCUGUGUGCUGUAGGGUUUCAGGAAAAAAAGGAGGCCGUAGAUGACUAGAUGGAGUCAGGGAAGCGUCUGUGUCCUCUGCAGACUGAUGGUGAUCUUUCCAGACUGAUCUGGGCUUUGCAUGCCCUCCACCCACCUUGGGGACCUGGUCCUGCCCCUGGGUGAGCCCUGGCCCUGCCCCCUGGGUGAGCCCUGUUCCUACCCCAGGUCCUAUCCGUCUUGUGCCCCUUGCACUGCCCCUGGGGAAUGUCUGAAAACCUGUCAUGUCCCAGCGCCACCUAAGCAGGGUGAGUUGACCCAGGAACCCAGCAGAAACUGCCGUGGUUGCAGUGCCCAGGGUCACACAGUCUGGAGCCUUUACCUCCCUCUCGAUGGAGCUAUUCUGCUUGUCCUGCUUCCUCCUAGGAGUGAAGGACUCCAGAAGGACCCUAGACCCCUUUUCUCUCAUGGGGCUCCAUGCUAUCUGUGGAUGAGAAGGGGGCAAUUGCCUUCCACAGAGAUCCUUCCUAGGCCUGUGCUCUGGCCUCAUGCAGACAGCCUGGAACCCCCAGAGGGCCAGCUGUAGCCAGAAGGGAAGGAAAACAAGCCUCCACGCUGUGUUUUUUCUUUUAAACAUGCGCUGGGAUGAGUGUAAGUAAACCCAGAGGCCGUGGGAGAGAACAGAUCUCACUCGCGGGCUUGUUUCCAUUUCUUGUGGUAUACUUCCUCGCACUGGCCUUUCUGGUCAUCUCGUUAUCUCCCUCUGAAGGAGGGUGGUAUGCAAAGUUUAGCGCCCUUUAUUUGCCGAGCAGUGGAGACCGCCAAGUGCCAUAGACCUGGUUUCCACUUAGAUUGUGUCCCAAGUUAUGCAAGACAUCCCCUCUGGUGGAUGAGGCCAAACUCCUGAAUCCCUUGUCCCCUGUUCCUUCCGUCCCUCCCUCUCUCCCUCCUUCCCUCUCCUGGAGCCACAGAGGGGCCUCCACCUGGGUUCUCUUGUCUCUUGGUGGCCAUUGGGAAUUCAGUCCCUCUUCCUUCACAACAACCUCUGAUUUGAGGACGGUAGCCUGGACAGUAUGAGAAGACCCCCUCCCUGGAGCUUUCAUUGCCUUGCCAUACACUGGGGUCCUAAUAGCUCCUGCCUCAUCUGGCAGUUGUGAGACUGGAAAGAGAAAAGCUCUCUUUUUCAUUCCCUAUGAGACAUGGGGGAUGGUGCCUUUCGUAUGGAAAACUACAAAGGUGAACUGGUAUUGUCCUGUUGUCUUCCCGAUAAUUCAGGGCACCGUUGCGAUGUCUUCUUGGUGGAGCCCAGGCACAGAUCUAAUUACUUCUGUUCUGCCUGGAGAAUUAUGAACCUUCCAUCUCCAGAGAUCAGGGAAAACACGGUAGGUUCCGGACCCGACGGUGUGGCUCAGCCCGUCUUCGCUGUCUUUCCGUGUGUGUGUUCCAUUUCUGGAGCUCGCUUUCUUGGCUGAUUUGACAUGUCAGGGUUUGGGCUUUGUAUUCAGUUCCUAGUGAUGCUGGAACAAAUUCCCACAGACUGGAUGGCCUAAAACCACAGACGUGCGUUAUCUCACAGUUCUGGAGGAGGGACGUCCAAGAUCAAGGCAUUGACGGACCCGUGCUCCCUCUGAAGCCUGUAGUGGUGUAUCCUUCCUGCCUCCUCUGGCUUCCGGUGGCUUCAGGCGUUUGUUGGCUUAUGGCUGCAUCACUCCAGUCUCUGCCUCUGUCUUCACUUGGCCUUCUCUGUGUGUAUCUUUUCCUCUUUUUAUAAGGAGACCAAUCACUGGAUUUAGGGCCCACUCUUUGAUCUCAUCUCUUGAUCCAUGUCUUCAAAGACUCUGUUUCCAAAUAAGCUUACAUUCUGAGGUUCUGGGUGGACAUGAGUUUCUGGAGAAUGCUGUUUAAGCUACUACAGGUGGAAAUGUUGAGGUCAGCAUGGGGUGACAAGACAUUCGCGCCACAGCGCCUGGCCGUUCCUGCCUCCGGGCUCCGAUUCAGGCGGACUGACACUGACUGGACUGGAGAGUGUGCCUGUUUUCUUCCUCCAGGACCCAAGGGAGCCCUGCAGCUCUUUUUUGCUCUCCUCUGACAUUUCCCUGACACUUCUUGCAGACUUUUCUUUUGAAAUCUUCCUUUUUUCUGUCAUCUCAAAUAGCUUACAAUUAAACCAAAGCCGUGGUAUGAAUGCUAUGGUUCCUGAGAAGGUAAGGACAUUCUUUUUUAAUGUGAAAAAUUUCAAAACAAAAUAUUUUUGAUUUGAAAAGAUCGUAGAGAUAACCACAAUAUACAAAGCAAGAAAUUGGUGGAAGCUGCAAAAAUGCUCACACCACGGUCUGUCUGUUCUGUCCCCUCUCGACUCAGUUAUCAGUUUCUGUGCGCCUCUUGGGCUUUGUGGGGAUGUCAUUCUGCCUCCUCUGUGCAUGCAUCACAGACAUCCAGGUCUUGGCAGCCCUUAGGGACCAGGCUCUGGCGGGCAAUUACGGCCAAGGCUCCCUUCCUUUCAGGAACUCAGGGUGUUUGCUCCAUACGCCCUUACAGGUUCAUACAGCACCUCAAUGCUUACGGCAGAAUUUUGUCACCCAGGGCCUUAUCUCUUUGUGCACAGAAAUGUUUGUUGUGGGUGAAUGAGUGUCCCAUUUAGCCUGGCCUGUAGGGGUGAAGGCACAGCCCAUAAUGGUGGCAGUAUGGUUGGGGAGCGGGGAGGUUCCACCUAAUUUAUUUCUCCCAGAUCUUUGGCCCUGGCAGCCUCCCUGUAGCAUUUCAAAAGUGGACAAGACCCCAGAGACUGUUUCUUUGGAUUCCAUUUGACAUCAAUUACCUUGGUCAAGCUGCGUCCCGGGGCCAUCCGAGCGGCUGUCUAAGUGCAUUUCUCAUGUCGGGCUUCUCCCAUCCAGGGCUUGUUAAGGCCCAUUAGCCGGUUGCUCGUCUCCCGUGAGGGAGGAUCGCUUUACGGGGCAGCUCUUUGUGGUCCAGCACAGGUGAAAACUCCGGAAUGACGUGCCUGAGAUCGUGACUGUUGGGUUGUCAUCAGGGAGCCACCAUGAUCCUCUAACUGGAAUGUUGUUAAUAUGACGAGGUUCUAUUUUUCUUGUUGCUAUUUUUAUGUGGGAGAAGGGAUGUGUGAACUAUGGCAGAGGGAGAGGAGGAAGGCCUCCGUGGGUGUUGCCCCGACAGGUGUAGGAGGGGCCGGUGACGAUGUCCAGCCUGGGCAGAGAAAGUUAAACCUUUCCCCACGGCCUUCCUUUUUUUUU